CCAAUAGCGUAUAUUAAAGUUGUUGCAGUUAAAAAGCUCGUAGUUGAAUUUCGAGAUCAAAUUGUUGGUCGUGCCUUGGUACGUACUGGCAUUAUUGGUUUCUCCCUUCUGACGAACCAAGAUGUCAUUAAUUUGGUGUCUUGGGGAAUCAGGACUGUUACCUUGAAAAAAUUAGAGUGUUUAAAGCAGGCCCGCGCUUGAAUACAUUAGCAUGGAAUAAUGAAAUAGGACGUUUGAUUCUAUUUUGUUGGUUUCUAGGAUCGACGUAAUGAUUAAUAGGGAUAGUUGGGGGCAUUAGUAUUCAAUUGUCAGAGGUGAAAUUCUUGGAUUUAUUGAAGACUAACUACUGCGAAAGCAUUUGCCAAGGAUGUUUUCAUUAAUCAAGAACGAAAGUUAGGGGAUCGAAGACGAUCAGAUACCGUCGUAGUCUUAACCAUAAACUAUGCCGACUAGGGAUCGGAUGAUGUUAAUUUUUUAAUGACUCAUUCGGCGCCUUACG
rnacentral:rRNA from 1 species